rnacentral:rRNA from 1 species
AGGAUCCGAGCGUUAUCCAGAUUUAUUGGGUUUAAAGGGCGUGUAGGCGGGACUGCAAGUCAGAUGUGAAAACUAUGGGCUCAACCCAUAGCCUGCAUUUGAAACUGUAGUUCUUGAGUGUUGGAGAGGCAGGCGGAAUUCCGUGUGUAGCGGUGAAAUGCGUAGAUAUACGGAGGAACACCAGUGGCGAAGGCGGCCUGCUGGACAAUAACUGACGCUGAGGCGCGAAAGCGUGGGGAGCAA